UACAGAGGGGGCAAGCGUUGUUCGGAAUCAUUGGGCGUAAAGCGCGCGUAGGCGGCCUCGUAAGUCCGUUGUGAAAGUCAAAGGCUCAACCUUUGAAAGCCGAUGGAUACUGUGAGGCUAGAGUCCGGAAGAGGCGAGUGGAAUUCCUGGUGUAGCGGUGGAAUGCGCAGAUAUCAGGAGGAACACCAAUAGCGAAGGCAGCUCGCUGGGACGGUACUGACGCUAAGGCGCGAAAGCGUGGGGAGCGAACAGG
rnacentral:rRNA from 1 species